CAAGGGGUCACAGUUUAAGGAUAAGGGGGAAGUCUUUUAGGACAGAGAUGAGAAUUUAUUUUUUCACACAGAGAGUGGUGAAUCUGGAAUUCUCUGCCACAGAAGGUAGUUGAGGCCAGUUCAUUGGCUAUAUUUAAGAUGGAGUUAGAUGUGGCCCUUUUGGCUAAAGGGAUCAGGGGGGUAUGGAGAGAAGGCAGGUACAGGAUACUGAUUUGGAUGAUCAGCCAUGAUCAUAUUGAAUGGUGGUGCAGGCUCGAAGGGCCGAAUGGCCUACUCCUGCAUCUAUUUUCUAUGUUUCUCCCCAUUCGCCCCCCUUCUCUGGCUGGUCUAGGAUGUUUUCGGUGAUGGGUGAAUUUGGGAGGUGACCAAGGGCGGGUUGGAAUGGGUCGGACUGAUGGUGUUGCCUCUGCUCCUCCCGCUCCAGCUGCAUCCCCUCCCUCUCAUCCCUGGCUUUUCUGGACCUUUCCCAAAAUCCCGGCAUCGGCUCACCGGGACUGCAGCUGCUCCUGGAGGCCUUGGAGAAGCGGGAUUCCAGCCUGCAAGUCCUGGAUCUGUCAGGGUGCUCCGUCAAUCAGCAGGACUCUGGUAAGGAGGGGACGAUGCGCUGGUAUCUCCGCGAUCUCCGCCUGUGACUCCGAGCAACGGGGACGUUUGUGGGUGAGACUGGGGCCGGUGGGACUGUCCAGUGGAGACUGCUGGUGCCCUACUGACAGCGUCCCCAGCCAGCCUGCGGCCUGUUACGUCAGACAGGAGCAGUACAUCACCUGUCCAUACCCGAUGACAAGCUAAACUCAUCUCCUCUGCCUGCAUGUGAUCUGUAUCCCUCCAUUCCCUACAAAUCCACGUCUGUCUAAAAGUUUCCCCAUCCACUGAUUUUUAAGAGGUGUUUACAGUCACGAGGGUCAUACAGAGAGAUAGUGCAUCUUUUACCCAGGCUAAGGGAAUCAGGAACUGGGCCGGAAUUUAUGAGCUUAGAUGGCCUAGAUUGAAGGUGAGAGGAGGAAGAUUUAAUAGGAACCUGAGGGGCAGCUUUUUCACACAGAGGGUGGUGGGCUGCCAGAGGAAAGGUCUGUGCCCUUUUACCCAUUCAUAUCUCCAGUUUUCCUGAGUCUGAGGAAGGGACUUGACCUGAAACACCAUCCAUUCCUUCUCUCCAGAGAUGCUGCCUUGUCCUAAUAACCAUAUAACAAUUACAGCACGGAAACAGGCCAUCUCGGCCCUACAAGUCCGUGCCGAACAACUUUUUUCCCCUUAGUCCCACCUGCCUACACUCAUACCAUAACCCUCCAUUCCCUUCUCAUCCAUAUGCCUAUCCAAUUUAUUUUUAAAUGAUACCAAUGAACCUGCCUCCACCACUUCCACUGGGAGCUCAUUCCACACCUCUACCACUCUCUGAGUAAAGAAGUUCCCCCUCAUAUUACCCCUAAACUUCUGUCCCUUAAUUCUGAAGUCAUGUCCACUUGUUUGAAUCUUCCCUAUUCUCAAAGGGAAAAGCUUGUCCACAUCAACUCUGUCUAUCCCUCUCAUCAUUUCCCUCUAUCAAGUCCCCCCUUAACCUUCUGCGCUCCAGAGAAUAAAGACCUAACUUAUUCAACCUUUUUCUGUAACUUAGUUGUUGAAACCCAGGCAACAUUCUAGUAAAUCUCCUCUGUACUCUCUCUAUUUUGUUGACAUCCUUCCUAUAAUUGGACGACCAAAAUUGUACACCGUACUCCAGAUUUGGUCUCACCAAUGCCUUGUACAAUUUUAACAUUACAUCCCAGCUUCUAUACUCAAUGCUCUGAUUUAUAAAGGCUAGCACACCAAAAGCUUCCUUUACCACCCUAUCUAUAUGAGAUUACACCUUCAAGGAACUGUUGAGUCCUGUUGAGUUACUCCAGCAUUUUGUAUCCAUCUUUUGUGCAAACCAGCAUCUGUGGUUCCUUCCUAUACAUUUCAUCUGGUGCACUGCAAAAUCCUCUUUAGGUGUGCCUACUGCACCCCCUUUGUCCCCACGCUCCUCCUCUCUCUGGCGAGAGUUCUGUAACACCCUCUCUCGCUGCUCCCCCUCUGUGAUUCCUCCUGCUCUACAAUCUUUGUGCCCAUCCAUACCUCCAGCUUCACUCUCCCCUGAUGCUCAGUCUGAGGAUGGGUCUUGACCUGAAACACCACCCAUUCCUUCUCUCCAGAAAUGCUGCCUGUCCCGCUGAGUUACGCCAGCAUUUUGUGUCUACCAUCGGUUUAAAACAGCAUCUCCAGCUCCUGCCUACACAAGUAAAAUGUGCAGGAAUAAUACAGCACAGGAACAGGCCCUCAGGUCACUAUGUCUGUGCCAAACAUGAUGCUGAGUUAAAUUAAUCUCCUCUGCCUGCACGUGAUCCAUAUUCCACCAUUCCCUACAUAUCAAUGUGUCUAUCUUAAAGCCUUAUAAGAUUAUGCCAUUAAAGAUUAUAAGCAAAAUAGAUAGAAUGAAUGCAUAAAGCCUCUUAAACACCGCUAUCUUAUCUACCUCCACUACCUCCACCGGCAGUGUGUUCCAGGCACACACCAUCUUCUGAGUAAAUCAAAACCAAUUUGGUCCACGUCUCUUUUAAGCCUCCACCCCUUAUCAGAAUGGGAGGGGGAGUUGAAGUGCUGAGCCACAGGGAGAUCAGGUUGGUUAUUGCGGACCGAGCGGAGGUGUUCGGCGAAACGAUUGCCAAGCCUACGCUUGGUCUCACCGAUGUAGAUCAGCUGACAUCUAGAGCAGGGGAUGCAAUAGAUGAGGUUGGAUGAGAUGCAGGGGAACCUUUGUCGCACCUGGAAUAACUGCUUGGGUCCUUGAAUGGAGUCGAGGGGGGAGAUAAAGCGACAAGUGUAGCAUCUCCUGCGGUUGCAAGGGAAAGUGCCCGGGGAGGGGGUAGUACGGGAGGGAAGGGAAGAAUUGACAAGGGAGUUACGGAGGGAGCGGUCUUUGUGGAAGGCAGACAUGGGGGGAGAUGGGAAGAUGUGGCGAGUGGAGGUGGCGAAACUGAUGGAGGACUAUUUGUUGUAUGUGACGGCUAGUGGGGUGAAAGGUGAGGACUAGGGUGACUGCCCUUGUUGCGAGUGGGGGCAUGGAGCGAGGGCAGUGUUACGGGGUAUGGAAGAGACCCUGGUGCGAGCCUCGUCUAUAGGAGGUGGAGGGGAACCCCCGUUCCCUGAAGAAUGAGGACAUUUCCGAUGCCCUGGUGUGGAACACCUCUUCCUGGGAGCAGAUGUGGCGUAGACGGAUGAAUUGAGUGUUGGGGAUGGAGUCCUUACAGGAAGCAGGGUGGGAGGAAGUGUAGUCUAGAUAGCCAUGGGAGUCAGUGGGUUUAUAGUGGAUGUCGGUCAGAAGUCUAUCACCUGCGAUGGAGAUAGUGAGGUCAAGAAAUGGUAGGGCAGUGUCGGGAAUGGUCCAGGUGUAUUUUGAGUGCCGGAUGGAAGUUAGUGGGGAAGUUAAUGAUGUCAGUGAGUUGUGUGUGGGCGCUGGAGGUAGCACCAAUGCAAUCGUCGAUGUAGCGUAGGUAGAGUUCGGGGAUGGGGCCCUGGUACAUCUCGAACAAGGAUUGUUCAACGUACCGUACAAAGAGGCAGGCAUAGCUGGGGCCCAUGCGCGUGCCCAUAGCUACGCCUUGUAUUUGGAGGAAAUGGGAAGAGUCGAACGAAAAGUAAGAAAACUCAAUAGGAAGAAUAUCCUUCCUCAAAUUAGGAGACUAAAAUUGCACACAAUACUCCAGGUGUGGUCUCACCAGGGCCCUGAACAACUGCAGAAGGACAUCUUUGCUCCAUUACUCAACUACUUUUGUUUUGAAGGCCAUUAGCUUUCUUCACUGCCUGUUGUACCAGCAUGCUUAUUUUCAGUGACUGCUGUGAUGUACAAGGACACCCAUGUCUUGUUGUACUUCCCCUUUUCCUAAUCUGACACCAUUCAGAUGAUCUGCCUUCCCAUUCUUGCCACCAAAGUGGAUAACCAAAUUCACAUUUAUCCACAAUAUACUGCAUCUGCUAUGCAUCUGCCCACUCACCCAACCUGUCCAAAUCACCCUGCAUCCUCAUAGCAUACUCUUCACAGUGCACACUUCCUCCCAGCUUUGUGUCAUCUGCAAAUUUGCUAAUGUCACUUUGAAUCCUUUCAUCUAAAUCAUUAAUGUAUAUUGUAAAUAGCUGCAGUCCCAGCACCGAGCCUUGCGGUACCCCACUACUCACUGCCUGCCAUUCUGAAAGGGACCCGUUAAUCCCUACUCUUUGUUUCCUGUCUGCCAACCAAUUUUCUAUCCUUGUCAAUACCCUACCCCCAAUACCAUGUGCUCUAAUUUUGCCCACUAAUCAGUGUGGGACCUUAUCAAAUGCUUUCUGAAAGUCCAGGUAUACUACAUCCACUGACUCUUCCUUGUCCAUUUUACUUGUUACACCUUCAAAACAUUCCAGAAGAUUUGUCAAGCCUUCGUAAAUCCAUGCUGACACGGACCGAUCCUGUUACUGCUAUCCAAAUGGGCCGCUAUUACAUCUUUGGUAAUCGACUCCAGCAUCUUCCCCACCACCGAUGUCAGGCUAACUGGUCUCUCUCCCUCCUUUCUUGAAACGUGAGAUAACAUUAGCUACCCUCCAAUCCACAGGAACUGAUCCAGAAUCUACAGAACAUUUGAAAAUGAUCACCAAUGCAUCCACAAUUUGUACAGCCACUUCCUUAAGUAUCCUGGGAUGCAGACCAUCAGGCCCUGGGGAUUUAUCAGCUCCAGUCCCAUCAGUCCACCCAACACCUAUUCCUGACUAAUGUGAAUGCCCUUCAGUUCCUCCAUCACCCUAGGUCCUUUGUUCCCUAGUACAUCUGGGAGAUUAUUUGUGUCUUCCUUAGUGAAGACAGAACCAAAGUACCUGUUCAACUGCUCUGCCAUUUCCUUGUUCCCCAUAAUAAUUUCACCUGUUUCUGCCUUCAUGGGACCCAUAUUUAUCUUAUCAAUUUUUUUCCUCUUCACAUACCUAAAGAAGCUUUCACCAUCCUCCUUUAUAUUCUAGGCUAGCUUACCUUCGUAAUUCAUAUUUUCUCCCCCAAUGGCGUUAUUAGCGACCUUCUGUUGUUCUUAAAAGUAACCUAAUCCUCCGGCUUCCCUCUCAUCUUUGCUAUGUUAUACUUCUUCUAUCUUAUUUUUAUACUGUUCUUGAGUUCCCUUGUCACCUCUAACUCCCCUUAGAAUAUUUCUUCCUCCAUGGAAUGAAAUGAUCCUGCAUCUUCUGGAUUAGUCCCAGAAAUGCCUGCCAUUGUGUUCCAUUGUCAUCCCUGCUAUGGUCCCUUUCCAGUGAACUUUGGCCAGCUCCUCCCUCAUGCCUCCAUAGUCCCCUUUGUUCAACUGGAAUACAGAUACAUCCGAUUUUACCUUCUCCCUCUCAAAUUGCAGUAGGCUGGGUCUCUAUUCCAUGGAGCGCAGGAGGAUGAGGGGAAAUCUUAAAGAAGUAUACAAAGUCAUGAGGGAAAUAGAUCGGGUCGAUGCACAGUCUUUGGCCCAGAGUCGGGGAAUCGAGGACCAGAGAACAUGGGUUCAAGGUGAAAUGGAAAGGAUUUAAUUGGGAUCCGAGGGGUAACUUGUUCACACAAAGGGUGAUGGGUGUAUGGAACAAGCUGCCAGAGGAGCUAGUUGAGGCUGGGACUAUCCCAUCGUUUAAGAAACAGUUACACAGGUACAUGGGUCGGACAGUUUUGGAGGGAUAUGGACCAAGCACAGGCAAGUAAGACUAGUAUAGCUGGGACAUUGUUGGCCGGUGUGGGCGAGUUGGGCCGAAGGGCCUGUUUCCACAUUAUCCCUCUAUGACAUCAGCUAUACCGUCAACACCAAAGCAGCCCUCGCUUACAACGGGAUCUUGGUUUACACUGGCUAGGCUUCAGCACCACACCUUGCAGGCGGGGAAAACUUGGCGCAGCCUAUGGUUAAUGUGUUACUUAUUCACAAUCUAGAUAUAACUCCCAGACACUCCAUGGGACAGCAUUUAUAUGUACAGCAUUUUGUAAAUAAAGUCUUGAAGUCACCA